UACGUAGGAUCCAAGCGUUUGUCCGGAUUUACUGGGUGUAAAGGGUGCGCAGGCGGACUUGUUAGUCAGAGGUGAAAUCUCGCUGCUCAACAGUGAAACUGCCUUUGAUACUGCAGGUCUUGAAUCCAGAAGAGAGUUGUGGAAUUCCGAGUGUAGCAGUGAAAUGUGUAGAUAUUCGGAAGAACACCAGCGGCGAAGGCAGCAACUUGGUCUGGUACUGACGCUGAGGUGCGAAAGCGUGGGGAGCAAACAGGG
rnacentral:rRNA from 1 species